UACGUAGGGGGCGAGCGUUGUCCGGAUUCAUUGGGCGUAAAGCGCGCGUAGGCGGCCCCGCAAGUCGGCCGUGAAAUCUCCGGGCUCAACUCGGAGGGGUCGGGCGAGACUGCGAGGCUCGAGGUGGGCAGAGGGCAGUGGAAUUCCGGGUGUAGUGGUGGAAUGCGUAGAGAUCCGGAGGAACACCAGUGGCGAAGGCGGCUGCCUGGGCCUGGCCUGACGCUGAGGCGCGAAAGCGUGGGGAGCAAUCCGGG
rnacentral:rRNA from 1 species